UGUUUGAUGUUCUAACGUGGACCCGUAAUCCGGGUUGCGGACAGUGUCUGGUGGGUAGUUUGACUGGGGCGGUCUCCUCCUAAAGAGUAACGGAGGAGCACGAAGGUUGGCUAAUCCUGGUCGGACAUCAGGAGGUUAGUGCAAUGGCAUAAGCCAGCUUGACUGCGAGCGUGACGGCGCGAGCAGGUGCGAAAGCAGGUCAUAGUGAUCCGGUGGUUCUGAAUGGAAGGGCCAUCGCUCAACGGAUAAAAGGUACUCCGGGGAUAACAGGCUGAUACCGCCCAAGAGUUCAUAUCGACGGCGGUGUUUGGCACCUCGAUGUCGGCUCAUCACAUCCUGGGGCUGAAGUAGGUCCCAAGGGUAUGGCUGUUCGCCAUUUAAAGUGGUACGCGAGCUGGGUUUAGAACGUCGUGAGACAGUUCGGUCCCUAUCUGCCGUGGGCGCUGGAGAAUUGAGGGGGGCUGCUCCUAGUACGAGAGGACCGGAGUGGACGCAUCACUGGUGUUCGGGUUGUCAUGCCAAUGGCACUGCCCGGUAGCUAAAUGCGGAAGAGAUAAGUGCUGAAAGCAUCUAAGCACGAAACUUGCCCCGAGAUGAGUUCUCCCUGACUCCUUGAGAGUCCUGAAGGAACGUUGAAGACGACGACGUUGAUAGGCCGGGUGUGUAAGCGCAGCGAUGCGUUGAGCUAACCGGUACUAAUGAACCGUGAGG
rnacentral:rRNA from 1 species